GACGAACGCUGGCGGCGUGCCUAAUACAUGCAAGUAGAACGCUGAAGAGAGGAGCUUACUCUUCUUGGAUGAGUUGCGAACGGGUGAGUAACGCGUAGGUAACCUGCCUUGUAGCGGGGGAUAACUAUUGGAAACGAUAGCUAAUACCGCAUAACAAUGGAUGACACAUGUCAUUUAUUUGAAAGGGGCAAUUGCUCCACUACAAGAUGGACCUGCGUUGUAUUAGCUAGUAGGUGAGGUAAUGGCUCACCUAGGCGACGAUACAUAGCCGACCUGAGAGGGUGAUCGGCCACACUGGGACUGAGACACGGCCCAGACUCCUACGGGAGGCAGCAGUAGGGAAUCUUCGGCAAUGGGGGCAACCCUGACCGAGCAACGCCGCGUGAGUGAAGAAGGUUUUCGGAUCGUAAAGCUCUGUUGUAAGUCAAGAACGGGUGUGAGAGUGGAAAGUUCACACUGUGACGGUAGCUUACCAGAAAGGGACGGCUAACUACGUGCCAGCAGCCGCGGUAAUACGUAGGUCCCGAGCGUUGUCCGGAUUUAUUGGGCGUAAAGCGAGCGCAGGCGGUUUGAUAAGUCUGAAGUUAAAGGCUGUGGCUCAACCAUAGUUCGCUUUGGAAACUGUCAAACUUGAGUGCAGAAGGGGAGAGUGGAAUUCCAUGUGUAGCGGUGAAAUGCGUAGAUAUAUGGAGGAACACCGGUGGCGAAAGCGGCUCUCUGGUCUGUAACUGACGCUGAGGCUCGAAAGCGUGGGGAGCGAACAGG
rnacentral:rRNA from 1 species